UGCACAGAUGAUGACGCUCAAGGGACUUAAUACUGACACUUGAUGAUUUUUUGUUCUGAUGUGC